UGCUCAUUACGCCACUGCCUGAACUAAAUAUCUUGUGUGCACAGAGCAUGACUGAUACAUUUCUUCGAUUAUGAGCAUUUAGCUCCAAACCUUUGGAUAUGCUAUAGGCCUAUUUAUUCCUCAAAAGAUCCGGAGGUUUUGUUCAUUGCAUCCAGAAAACAUCAGGUUCUCGCUUUUGUGUUCAUGAUCUUCUCGAUAUGGCGUCAGAACGGUCAAAACGAAUAGCAGAGGAACUAAAAUCUUGGCAAAAACCCCCAAAUAACUGCUCUGCUGGUCCAGUUGGUGAUGAUAUGACCCAUUGGCAAGGAACAAUAAUGGGUCCAGAUGACAGUCCAUAUCAGGGUGGUGCUUGUUUUUCCUUUCAAUUGAAUUGCCUGAAGAUUACCCCAUCAAGCCUCCCAAGGUUGUUUUCACAACAAAAGUCUACCAUCCAAAUAUAGACAGCAAUGGCAAGAUCUGUCUAGAUAUCCUCAUAUCAGAGUGGUCACCAACUGUCACUAUUGUACAAGUUUUCGAAGCAAUCUGCUUGAUGCUAACUGACCCUAACUGGGAUGACCCCCUCGUACCAGAUAUUGCACGAUUAUACAAAAAUAACAAAAAAAUUUCAACGAAAGGGCCAAAGAAUGGACUCGAAAGUAUGCCGGCAAUAACAAACAAUCUAAAUAAUCUGGAAGUAUAAAAAAUGGCUAUUCUUACUGUGAUUUACGUUACAAAACAUAUAUCACAAAUGUAACAUUAGAAAAAAUAUUGUGUGUAACUUGCAACGUAGAGUGGAGCAUAAUCAGGUACUGCCAUUCUGAACAGAUGUGAUAAAAUUUUGUAACAGAAGAAUUUAGAGUUGUGUCUUUUUUGUUUUGUAGAAUGUAAAUGUAAGGAUCUUUGUAACUAGGUAAAUUCUGCUCAACUAUAAACAAGGUGACUAAAAAUUGUUUACUUCUCAAAGAGAAGGUGAAAUUGUAAUCUUAUUAAUAAAUAUAAGCAAAUUGAAUGAUAGGAGGUGAAAUAAAUAUUAACUCAUUAAUUGUUGUGAUAUGUAUAUUUUGAAAACUGUUCCUCAUAACUUUAAUAUUUUUGAAUAUCUCACUAGGCAGUAAUCAAUACCCACUUUUAGGUAUAUGAAACUGGCAUAUCUAAUAACAUUUAUAAGAAAUUCAUCUUAUAUGCGUAUAUAAUUUUGUAUCUUAAUUAACAAUUCCAGUCAUAUCAUGUCAACUUUCAAUAUAUCGCCCUAACCCUUUGCAAUGUGACUCACUUUUAGAAACUAAAGUUUCGCUGUCUUUCCCUUCUAAUGUUAUGUACAUAUUUGGAUAGAGAGUUGACGGGGUGUGGGACAGAAGACUUGAGGGUCAUAGUAAUUCAGUUCACCUUUUCUUGUCUCAGGCAGCUCCGUCUGCUCUGUUAAAACCUCUUCACCUGUUUUGCAUCAUGAUCAAUCUAAUGUUUUGUUAUUGAUUUUAUAUGUUGAACGACUUUUUUUUCUUUUGAAAUGCCGAAUAAAUAAUAAUAAUGAUAAUGAUCUCUAGAAAGUGGCUGAAAACAUAACUGAAACAGUGAAACUAUAAGUAAGAUAGCACAUGCAAAUGUAUUCUAGCGGGGUCGUAAGGACCGCUAUUCAUAAUUUGAGAAAAAGGUCAUUAUUCCUAAGGGUCAUUACUCAUAAGGUCCGCUAUUCAUAGUCGAAGAAGAGGGUCGCUAUUCAUGAUUCAAAAUAUGGGUCAUAAUUCGUAGGGUUCCCUAUACUUAAUACGAGAAGAGGGUCGCUAUUCACCUCAUCUCGUAUUAUGGAUAGCGACCUUCAUUUCGUAUUAUGAAUAGCGGUCCACAUGAGUAAUGACCCCCAAUAUAAAUUAUGAAUAGCGCCCCUUCUUCAUGUUUAUGAAUAGCGACCCCGAUGUCGUAUUAUGAAUAGCGGUCCUUACGAGUAAUGGCACUCAAUGUGAAUUAUGAAUAGGAUUUAUAGAAUGCAAAUAAGUGUUAAAAAUGGGGAGAAUGAUAUUUCAGAUUACAUGUACGACAUGUAAAAUGAUUCUUGCUUCCAAUUGUUUUUUAUAUGUUUGAACAUCACAUCUAUAUGAAUAAAGUUAUUUGAAAACCUCAGAUAAUUAUUCUUUUGCUGACAUUUUUGCUCUGAAGUUUAAAAAAAACAAACAUUAUGACUUUUUUUUACAUUGUGAUGUAUUUGAUUCAAACUAUCUACCCGUAAUAUAUUUUUGUUGUAUAAGUUUUAAUAUAAUAUUAUUGAUAUUAUCUUUUUUUUACCGACUCUGUUGGAUGUUACUUCAUGUAUGCGUACAAUAAGA